rnacentral:rRNA from 1 species
GAUGAACGCUGGCGGCGUGCCUAAUACAUGCAAGUCGAGCGAACGGACGAGAAGCUUGCUUCUCUGAUGUUAGCGGCGGACGGGUGAGUAACACGUGGAUAACCUACCUAUAAGACUGGGAUAACUUCGGGACACCGGAGCUAAUACCGGAUAAUAUUUUGAACCGCAUGGUUCAAUAGUGAAAGACGGUCUUGCUGUCACUUAUAGAUGGAUCCGCGCUGCAUUAGCUAGUUGGUAAGGUAACGGCUUACCAAGGCAACGAUGCAUAGCCGACCUGAGAGGGUGGUCGGCCACACUGGAACGGGAACAGCGACCAGACUCCUAAGGGAGGCAGCAGUAGGGAAUCUGACGCAAUGGUCGAAAGCCUGACGGAGCAACGCCGCGUGAGUGAUGAAGGCCUUCGGAUCGGAAAACUCUGUUAUGAGGGAAGAACAGAUGUGGAAGUAACUGUGCACAUCUUGACGGUACCUAAUCAGAAAGCCACGGCUAACUACGUG